rnacentral:rRNA from 1 species
UUUGAUCCUGGCUCAGAACGAACGCUGGCGGCAGGCCUAACACAUGCAAGUCGAGCGCACCCUUCGGGGCGAGCGGCGGACGGGUUAGUAACGCGNGGGANCAUACCCAANGGUACGGAAUAGCCUCGGGAAACNAGAGUAAUACCGUAUGUGCCCUUCGGGGGANAGAUUUAUCGCCAUNGGAUUGGCCCGCGUUAGAUUAGAUAGUUGGUGGGGUAAUGGCCUACCAAGUCUACGAUCUAUAGCUGGUUUUAGAGGAUGAUCAGCAACACUGGGACUGAGACACGGCCCAGACUCCUACGGGAGGCAGCAGUGGGGAAUCUUAGACAAUGGGCGCAAGCCUGAUCUAGCCAUGCCGCGUGCGUGAUGAAGGCCUUAGGGUCGUAAAGCACUUUCGCCAGAGAUGNUAAUGACAGUAUCUGGUAAAGAAACCCCGGCUAACUCCGUGCCAGCAGCCGCGGUAAUAAGGG